rnacentral:rRNA from 1 species
UGGGGAAUAUUGCACAAUGGGCGCAAGCCUGAUGCAGCCAUGCCGCGUGUAUGAAGAAGGCCUUCGGGUUGUAAAGUACUUUCAGCGGGGAGGAAGGGAGUAAAGUUAAUACCUUUGCUCAUUGACGUUACCCGCAGAAGAAGCACCGGCUAACUCCGUGCCAGCAGCCGCGGUAAUACGGAGGGUGCAAGCGUUAAUCGGAAUUACUGGGCGUAAAGCGCACGCAGGCGGUUUGUUAAGUCAGAUGUGAAAUCCUCGGGCUCAACCUGGGAACUGCAUCUGAUACUGGCAAGCUUGAGUCUCGUAGAGGGGGGUAGAAUUCCAGGUGUAGCGGUGAAAUGCGUAGAGAUCUGGAGGAAUACCGGUGGCGAAGGCGGCCCCCUGGACAAAGACUGACGCUCAGGUGCGAAAGCGUGGGGAGCAAACAGG